GACGAACGCUGGCGGCGUGCUUAACACAUGCAAGUCGAACGGAAAGGCCCUGCUUUUGUGGGGUGCUCGAGUGGCGAACGGGUGAGUAACACGUGAGUAACCUGCCCUUGACUUUGGGAUAACUUCAGGAAACUGGGGCUAAUACCGGAUAGGAGCUCCUGCUGCAUGGUGGGGGUUGGAAAGUUUCGGCGGUUGGGGAUGGACUCGCGGCUUAUCAGCUUGUUGGUGGGGUAGUGGCUUACCAAGGCUUUGACGGGUAGCCGGCCUGAGAGGGUGACCGGCCACAUUGGGACUGAGAUACGGCCCAGACUCCUACGGGAGGCAGCAGUGGGGAAUAUUGCACAAUGGGCGGAAGCCUGAUGCAGCAACGCCGCGUGCGGGAUGACGGCCUUCGGGUUGUAAACCGCUUUCGUCUGUGACGAAGCGUGAGUGACGGUAAUGGGUAAAGAAGCACCGGCUAACUACGUGCCAGCAGCCGCGGUGAUACGUAGGGUGCGAGCGUUGUCCGGAUUUAUUGGGCGUAAAGGGCUCGUAGGUGGUUGAUCGCGUCGGAAGUGUAAUCUUGGGGCUUAACCCUGAGCGUGCUUUCGAUACGGGUUGACUUGAGGAAGGUAGGGGAGAAUGGAAUUCCUGGUGGAGCGGUGGAAUGCGCAGAUAUCAGGAGGAACACCAGUGGCGAAGGCGGUUCUCUGGGCCUUUCCUGACGCUGAGGAGCGAAAGCGUGGGGAGCGAACAGGCUUAGAUACCCUGGUAGUCCACGCUGUAAACGGUGGGUACUAGGUGUGGGGUCCAUUCCACGGGUUCCGUGCCGUAGCUAACGCUUUAAGUACCCCGCCUGGGGAGUACGGCCGCAAGGCUAAAACCCAAAGGAAUUGACGGGGCCCCGCACAAGCGGCGGAGCAUGCGGAUUAAUUCGAUGCAACGCGUAGAACCUUACCUGGGUUUGACAUGGAUCGGGAGCGCUCAGAGAUGGGUGUGCCUCUUUUGGGGUCGGUUCACAGGUGGUGCAUGGCUGUCGUCAGCUCGUGUCGUGAGAUGUUGGGUUAAGUCCCGCAACGAGCGCAACCCUUGUUCACUGUUGCCAGCACGUUAUGGUGGGGACUCAGUGGAGACCGCCGGGGUCGACUCGGAGGGAGGUGGGGAUGACGUCAAGUCAUCAUGCCCCUUAUGUCCAGGGCUUCACGCAUGCUACAAUGGCUGGUACAGAGAGUGGCGAGCCUGUGAGGGUGAGCGAAUCUCGGAAAGCCGGUCUCAGUUCGGAUUGGGGUCUGCAACUCGACCUCAUGGAGUCGGAGUCGCUAGUAAUCGCAGAUCAGCAACGCUGCGGUGAAUACGUUCCCGGG
rnacentral:rRNA from 1 species